ACAGGUCAGAAUUGAACUGUUUUAUAGUGAAACAUAUACAUCCAUUUCUAAUCAAUAUCUCCUCAGGAGGAAAGUAAGAAGUUUAUAUGUUAACAAACUUUGUACUUCAAAGAAGUAUGACUCACACAUAUUCCGAGUAGAAGCUAUCAAUUUGGCCAAAACAUGACAUUCCACAGCUAUGAGAGAGUUAAUGAUGUAUGGUCACUUGGUCAAAGGUUGGAAACUCGACCCCCCCCCCCCCUUCCAGAACACUUGUAAUAACUUUGCCAAACAAACCCCAGAUUGUAAACAUCGGAUAAGAACCCCCAAAACAAAAGACUUCCUGUCUCCCUCCCAAUAACAAGACCUAGCUUUCCCAGAACAGGUUAUGUGUGGUAGCUAUACCACCGUGAGAGUGAAGCUGUUAUAAAAGAAGGCAGAGGUAUUUGACAGAUUCACUCCUGUACUGCACCCCAUCCAUGGGGCAGGCAGGGAGGUCGACUCUGCAAGCUUUUGGUGUUACAUGUCAUUAUAUAGGUGUUGACAAAUUACGAUCAACAUGUAAGAAGCGGGAACGAGAGGAAACAGUCCUCUAGGCCAGAUUGCCAGGGCUUUAGCUUUGGCUUUAGCUUACUUUAGCUUUGUUCACUUUGCACCUGAAAUAAAAAAGAACCGCAACACAACGAAUGGUGUGAUCGAGUAUUUUCUACCAGUUUCUGCGUGUGAUAUCGGCGUGUUACAAAUGGCGUAAUCGGCAGGAUUUCAUCACUGCAAGUGCAAUUAGCCCUGGCUUUCUGUGGAGCUUCUACAUCCGUGUGGGACAACUCGAUCGGACACAGAUGUCUAGAAACGUGUAAAUAUCGACGUAGAUUUAAGAUACAAUGAUUGUGUGUAUUGUAUGAGUGUUGUAGCUAAUUGUUUGUUUAGGGUAAUUUUUUUGAAAUUAUCUUGUAAUGGAAUACUUUAAUGUAUUCAGUUUAAAUUGUUUUGGGGAAAUUAAGGAGUAAUACUAUUUAUAUGUUGUUGAGACUGUCAUGAUAAUACUGUGUUUGGAACAAUCCAUACCCCCUUUCGUAUUUAAUUUCGGCUGGUUGGAUGGAGCCUCAAAUUAAGGGAUGGCAUACAAAGACACCGGUAUUUUAUAUAUUGAUAGGAGGGAUAGCAGUACAUGUAGGUGUAGAGCAGGUAUGAAGCUCUAGCUUUAUCAGAUAUGAAUAGUUGGAAUAUUCCUUUAUUUGAACUUGUAAAUUGUUGAGAUUUGAAGUUGGGCAUGAUGUUAAAGUUUUGGUAACUUAGGUAAGUUAGGUUGUAGCAUGUAUAUUACAUUCAUUGAAUUGAUAUGCAUGGUGGAUAUAUUUGUUAGUUUAAGGACUGCUUUUGGAAAAGCAGGGGAGCCCAUGAACGUGAAAUGUUGUUUCAGUUUGGGUCAGCAAUUGUUCGGAGUAACUAUGUGCGUGUGUUGUGUAAUGGAUAUUGUAUUGUUUUAUACCGAGAUUUCUGGAAUGUAACUGGGAUUUGGCUGGAAUUACUGUUGGACUUAGCCUGGAUAGUGUAUUUAAUGUUUAUUCCGAAAACCUCGACAUGAGACCGGAAUCAUGCAUGGAAGAAAUACUGGGGCGACUUCUAGGAACAGUAGGGUUUAUCUCUCUAUCUUUGUUUUUCUGUUAACCUCAUAGAGAGGCCGGAAAGGGCACAUUGGUAGCGGAGAGGAUUAGCCAAAAGUUAUAAGAUUUCUUUGUAUAUUGCAUUGUCGAAUUUUUGUAUCUUAGGAGUUUAUUAAGAUAUGCGAAAGGAAUAUCUGUAGGGCAAGGUCGUUACGAAAUAUAGUUGACAGUUUUACUGCUGUAUUUGCUAGAGUGUGUACAUGUACUAUAAGGACGAUUAUUGUUUUUGUGUGUUUAAAAUGACACAGGGUAGAAUAAUUGGGUAUAUACCGUGAAAAUCAUCUGGCUUGUUAGAGAUGCCUGUAAUAUGAAGAUUUGUGUUGAUAACUAAGGUUUGGCAGUAGAGACUCUGGAACUGUUAGGAUCGGUUGGGUAUAGCACUUAGAUUAGGUUAAUGCUAGGAGCCUCGACAUGAGACCAGUAUUACAUAAUAAGGAGUGCUAGAAUGACUGAAACAGAUGAGUUUUUCGCACUAGAUAUGUUUUCUGUGAUUCUCGUCAUGAGACCAGAAAGUUCGUAUUAGUGGUGCGCGUUGGCCAAUAAUGUGUUAUGAUUUCAAUUUUUAUAUUCUGUAUUAUGCAAAAAUAUUUUUAAUCACAUGGUUAAUUUUGAUUUGCAUAUUGGUAGGCAUCGGUAUUAGGAUCAGGAAACAGCCAUGAUGGGCAGAAGGUAUAGAGGGAAUUAAAUAUAAUUUUUGUUGUAGUCUGAGUGUCGGGACGACACUCAAUUAAGCAGGGGAGUGUGUAACAGGUCAGAAUUGAACUGUUUUAUAGUGAAACAUAUACAUCCAUUUCUAAUCAAUAUCUCCUCAGGAGGAAAGUAAGAAGUUUAUAUGUUAACAAACUUUGUACUUCAAAGAAGUAUGACUCACACAUAUUCCGAGUAGAAGCUAUCAAUUUGGCCAAAACAUGACAUUCCACAGCUAUGAGAGAGUUAAUGAUGUAUGGUCACUUGGUCAAAGGUUGGAAACUCGACCCCCCCCCCCCCUUCCAGAACACUUGUAAUAACUUUGCCAAACAAACCCCAGAUUGUAAACAUCGGAUAAGAACCCCCAAAACAAAAGACUUCCUGUCUCCCUCCCAAUAACAAGACCUAGCUUUCCCAGAACAGGUUAUGUGUGGUAGCUAUACCACCGUGAGAGUGAAGCUGUUAUAAAAGAAGGCAGAGGUAUUUGACAGAUUCACUCCUGUACUGCACCCCAUCCAUGGGGCAGGCAGGGAGGUCGACUCUGCAAGCUUUUGGUGUUACAUGUCAUUAUAUAGGUAAGAAGAUUAUUCUUUUGUUAUAAAUUGGAUAAUUAUUGAGAUAAUUAGUACUUUUGUAGAUGUAUUUUGAUGUUAGUUAAUAACCUUGGUAUCGUUCUUAACGAUAGAGUUUGUGCUGAAUUAAUAUGCAUUAUGUAAGGUGUGGCAUACUAUUUGUUUAAUCAUCAGUUUAGGUGGAUUUCGUUAGUGAGAUAAGCACUAGAUUAGGAUUUGGUAAUAGUAAUUUGAGAUGAUUUGAAUAUUACUAUGUUAUCUGUUAUAUUGCUUGUAAUCUUUAGGAGUUUUAGUUAUAUAAUGUGUUGUUGAGAUUAACUCUGGAUAAUCGUAUUUUGCAAGACAGUUGUAAUUUAAAGUAAUGUUUUAAGAGUUAACAGUUAACGGAUAUAAUCUGAACCUUUUUCAGUUUGGUGUUUUAGAGUCAAAUUUACAAUGAUUUGUAUUAAUUAUUAUUCCUCCAGGUGUUGACAAAUUACGAUCAACAUGUAAGAAGCGGGAACGAGAGGAAACAGUCCUCUAGGCCAGAUUGCCAGGGUGAGUGGGUUAUCAUAUUCAAUGUAUAAACCACUAAUUCAACGUAGUUUUAAUUGGGAAUUAUGUUUGGUUGUUUGACAAAGUUCACUUGAUGGUUGUAUUCAUUUAUUUGUUGGGAAAGUUAUCCAUACAGAUGGAAGAACUUUAUUUGUGAUUAGAUGCUGGUUAUUUUCAUGCAAUAUUGAUUAAGUUUUAAUGAAUGUAAUAUAAACAACAUGUUUAUCAUUUAUUAUUAUGAGUCGGCUUGACGUCAUAUUGUUGGAAUGCGUAUCUUAGAGUCAUUAACAAAUAUUAUGUUAUAUCGCUAUUAUGUGUGUUUUUCAAACAUGUCCAUAUUUCUAUUUAAUUGUUUUAACUUUGUUUAUUUGUCCAGGCUUUAGCUUUGGCUUUAGCUUACUUUAGCUUUGUUCACUUUGCACCUGAAAUAAAAAAGAACCGCAACACAA